rnacentral:rRNA from 1 species
AGAGUUUGAUCCUGGCUCAGAGCGAACGCUGGCGGUAGGCCUAACACAUGCAAGUCGAACGAACCCUUUCGGGGUUAGUGGCGGACGGGUGAGUAACACGUGGGAACGUACCUUUAGGUUCGGAACAACACAGGGAAACUUGUGCUAAUACCGAAUGUGCCCUUUCGGGGGAAAGAUUUAUCGCCCUUAGAGCGGCGCGCGUCUGAUUAGCUUGUUGGUGAGGUAAAGGCUCACCAAGGCUACGAUCAGUAGCUGGUCUGAGAGGAUGAUCAGUCACACUGGGACUGAGACACGGCCCAGACUCCUACGGGAGGCAGCAGUGGGGAAUCUUGCGCAAUGGGCGAAAGCCUGACGCAGCCAUGCCGCGUGAAUGAUGAAGGUCUUAGGAUUGUAAAAUUCUUUCACCGGGGACGAUAAUGACGGUACCCGGAGAAGAAGCCCCGGCUAACUUCGUGCCAGCAACCGCGGUAAUACGAAGGGGGCUAGCGUUGCUCGGAUUUACUGGGCGUAAAGGGCGCGUAGGCGGACAGUUUAGUCAGAGGUGAAAGCCCGGGGCUCAACCUCGGAAUAGCCUUUGAUACUGGCUGUCUUGAGUAUGGAAGAGGUAUGUGGAACUCCGAGUGUAGAGGUGAAAUUCGUAGAUAUUCGGAAGAACACCAGUGGCGAAGGCGACAUACUGGUCCAUUACUGACGCUGAGGCGCGAAAGCGUGGGGAGCAAACAGGAUUAGAUACCCUGGUAGUCCACGCCGUAAACGAUGAGUGCUAGUUGUCGGCAUGCAUGCAUGUCGGUGACGCAGCUAACGCAUUAAGCACCCCGCCUGGGGAGUACGGUCGCAAGAUUAAAACUCAAAUGAAUUGACGG